UACGAAGGGUGCAAACGUUGCUCGGAAUCAUUGGGCGUAAAGCGCGUGUAGGCGGCUUUGCAAGUCGGAUGUGAAAGCCCACGGCUCAACCGUGGAAGUGCAUCCGAAACUGCAUGGCUGGAGUCUCGGAGAGGAAGGUGGAAUGCUUGGUGUAGAGGUGAAAUGCGCAGAUAUCGGGAAGAACACCCGUGGCGAAGGCGGUUCUCUGGGACGGUACUGACGCUGAGACGCGAAAGCGUGGGGAGCGAACAGG
rnacentral:rRNA from 1 species